GGACACAUCAGCAGACAGUUGGGCCCUGGCUCGCAGCAGCAUAGAGCCUGCUGGCUUGGCGCCACCGGAAGAGCUGCCUCUCCUGACUGGCAGCCUGCAGCUCACCUCCAGACCAACCCGCAGUCUGUUCACUGCAUUCACCGUAGUGCAACUUAGAUCUCCUGCAGUAAACGUCCACAGGCCGACUCCAUCCCCAUUCAGAUUGAAUGUAUUUAAAUGUGUGUAUUUGGAGAACCACGCUCUUGUUCUGUUCCUGUUCAGCUCCAGACACUGGUUUCUUGCUUUGUUUUCCGUGGCUAUUCAGUGCAGUGUAAAAGAUUGUGAUCUUACCUAGAGAAAGAAAGG
rnacentral:lncRNA from 1 species